AGAACGAACGCUGGCGGCAGGCUUAACACAUGCAAGUCGAACGCUCGUAGCAAUACGGGAGUGGCAGACGGGUGAGUAACGCGUGGGAACAUACCCUCCGGUUCGGAAUAGCUCAGGGAAACUUGGAUUAAUACCGGAUACGGCCGAGAGGCGAAAGAUUUAUCGCCGGAGGAUUGGCCCGCGUUCGAUUAGCUAGUUGGUGAGGUAACGGCUCACCAAGGCGAUGAUCGAUAGCUGGUCUGAGAGGAUGAUCAGCCACAUUGGGACUGAGGCACGGCCCAAACUCCUACGGGAGGCAGCAGUGGGGAAUAUUGGACAAUGGGCGCAAGCCUGAUCCAGCCAUGCCGCGUGAGUGAUGACGGCCUUAGGGUUGUAAAGCUCUUUCGCUCGGGACGAUAAUGACGGUACCGAGAUAAGACGCCCCGGCUAACUCGCGCCAGCAGCCGC
rnacentral:rRNA from 1 species